rnacentral:rRNA from 1 species
UACAGAGGUCUCAACCGUUGUUCGGAUUCAUUGGGCGUAAAGGGUGCGUAGGCGGUCGUGCAAGUCGGAUGUGAAAUCUCAGGGCUCAACCCUGAAACUGCAUUCGAUACUGCCGUGCUUGAGGACUGGAGAGGAGACUGGAAUUUACGGUGUAGCGGUGAAAUGCGUAGAUAUCGUAAGGAAGACCAGUGGCGAAGGCGGGUCUCUGGACAGUUCCUGACGCUGAGACGCGAAAGCGUGGGGAGCGAACAGG